UGAGAGUUAGUUAAUAAAUAUAUAACAUUAAAUUGUCAAUUUAAAAUUAUUUUAAUAAUAAAAAAUACUUUCAU
rnacentral:tRNA from 1 species